rnacentral:rRNA from 1 species
UACGAAGGGGGCUAGCGUUGUUCGGAAUUACUGGGCGUAAAGCGCGCGUAGGCGGACGUUUAAGUCAGGGGUGAAAUCCCAGGGCUCAACCCUGGAACUGCCUUUGAUACUGAAUGUCUGGAGUUCGGGAGAGGUGAGUGGAAUUCCGAGUGUAGAGGUGAAAUUCGUAGAUAUUCGGAAGAACACCAGUGGCGAAGGCGACUCGCUGGACAAGUAUUGACGCUGAGGUGCGAAAGCGUGGGGAGCAAACAGG